rnacentral:ncRNA from 13 species
GUCACGAUGGCUCAAGUGGUUAUAGCAGCGGCGUAUUAAGCCGAAGGUCGUGGGUUCGAAUCCCGCUCGUGACA